rnacentral:tRNA from 1 species
GCGCCUGUAGCUCAGGGGAUAGAGCGACUGCCUCCGAAGCAGUAGGUCAGAGGUUCAAAUCCUCUCAGGCGCA